CAGGACGAACGCUGGCGGCGUGCCUAACACAUGCAAGUCGAGCGGGACAUGCGACGGAGACGAAGUUUCGGAUGGAGUCGAAGAUGCAUUGUCUAGCGGCGGACGGGUGAGUAACGCGUGAGCAACCUGUCCCUUACAGGGGGAUAACACAGCGAAAGUUGUACUAAUACCGCAUGAGACCACAGUGAGACAUCUCACAGGGGUCAAAGGAGCAAUCCGGUAAGGGGUGGGCUCGCGUCCGAUUAGAUAGUUGGUGAGGUAACGGCCCACCAAGUCGACGAUCGGUAGCCGACCUGAGAGGGUGAUCGGCCACAUUGGGACUGAGACACGGCCCAAACUCCUACGGGAGGCAGCAGUGGGGAAUAUUGGGCAAAAUGGGGGGAACCCUGACCCAGCAACGCCGCGUGAGGGAAGAAGGUUUUCGGAUCGUAAACCUCUGUCCUUGGUGAAGAGGAAGAGACGGUAGCCAAGGAGGAAGCCCCGGCUAACUACGUGCCAGCCGCCGC
rnacentral:rRNA from 1 species